rnacentral:rRNA from 1 species
UACGUAGGAGACGAGCGUUGUCCGGAAUUACUGGGCGUAAAGCGCGUGUAGGCGGAUGAGCAAGUCUGCUGUGAAAGCUCCUGGCUUAACCGGGAGUGGUCGGUGGAAACUGCUCGUCUGGAGGACGGUAGAGGCUGGUGGAAUUCCCGGUGUAGUGGUGAAAUGCGUAGAGAUCGGGAGGAACACCUGUGGCGAAGGCGGCCAGCUGGGCCGGACCUGACGGCUGAGACGCGAAGGCGUGGGGAGCGAACGGG